CGGCGGACGGGUGAGUAAUGCCUAGGAAUCUGCCUGGUAGUGGGGGACAACGUUUCGAAAGGAACGCUAAUACCGCAUACGUCCUACGGGAGAAAGCAGGGGACCUUCGGGCCUUGCGCUAUCAGAUGAGCCUAGGUCGGAUUAGCUAGUUGGUGAGGUAAUGGCUCACCAAGGCGACGAUCCGUAACUGGUCUGAGGGGAUGAUCAGUCACACUGGAACUGAGACACGGUCCAGACUCCUACGGGAGGCAGCAGCG
rnacentral:rRNA from 1 species